GAUCAAGGCCCAAACUUCUCCCAUUUGCUAAGCUAUUUCCAUGCCCAUAAAGGUUUGGUUUGCCUCUUUGAAGUCCUCAGCAAGUCUAAAAGAGUAGCACCAACCCUCACCUAAGCACAGGAUGGAAACUUCACAGCAUCCUCCUCCUUAUGGCCAUUGCCAUCUCUGUCCACAUCACUACAUUGCCAGUAUUUGUAUUACAUUUAGUUCACAGAAAGCUUUCAUUCGCCUGACCUCUUCAGAAUGAGAAUUACUGGUGUUUGGAGCUGGAUGGAGCAUUUCAUCUUGCAAAAAUUUUGUGGAGGACUCAGGGCAGCAUUAUAAUCCUCCUUGUUCACCUCCCAGCACACUUGUGUUACUUAGUAAGUAUUUGAUGAGUAUUUGUGGAACUAAUGAUUGUAAAUAAGGAAACUACAUUUCAGAGAAGUUCUGUAGUUUUCUCACCUGACAGGCAGAAAGGGAGUUGCAGACACUAGAACAAAGGUCUCUCCAUCUAUUACACGAGGGACCAAAACCAAACUAAACCAAACCAAACCCCCAAAACGAAAAAAGACAUCCGUAAACCCAUGGAGGUGUCUCCAUUGAUGUCUUAGUUGAAUAAAAGUCAGAGAGCGGAUCGAAGGCAAUGAUUCAUCAAAAAGUACAUGUUCAUUGUCUUUAUCUCACCAUAUGUGAAGAACAGAGAAAAAAGAAAUGAAAACUGAUGAUGCACCAGCUUAAAAAAUCAACAUCAUAAUAUUGUCACUAGAUGGUGACCUUGUUGUGGAAAAAAAGGAAAAGAUUUAGCAAUGUUGCUAUAGGUCAGUUGUACUUUCAUUGUCUAUUAUUUUUCUCAGUGGGAAACAGGAGCAAAAUUUCCUCUCCUUUGUGAAACUAAAGACAAUUCUCCCUUUCUAGACUUUGGUUUCCUCACCAGUGGUUAAUACACAACUAAUCCAAGUCAGGUUGAUACAUACGUAAAUUUACACAAUUGUUUCUAUUUGUAAAGAGCAAAUCUACUGUCAAUAAAAUGUGGCAAGUGCUUUUUUUUUUUUUAAGUCCUCAAUCAUUCACAGCAAAUGUGUUUAAAUUGCUAAGGACCAAGGAAGGCAUCUCUGAAUCUUGUCCUCUGUUGGAGACCCAAUCCUGCAAUCACGGAACACCUGGGUCACUGAGACUCCAAUGAUUAGUUGGAAAAACAGGGGAUGAAAUUUGGGGUGUUAUAUACAAUGUUCCUUUGUUUCUACCAAAGAUCUUAAUUCAGAUUGAUGUAGCUUGAUGAAGUUCCACAGUUCCAGGUGAAAGGAAAUUAAUGCUUGUUGGGCUGCUGUAACAACCCAAUGAGGUGGAAAUUAUUUGCUUGGUGUUUAAGAUGAGAAAGCUGAGACAUAGAGAGGCUGAGGAACUCAAUGAAGCAGCAGAGAAUUAAAGUUGAGAGAUGGGACUUAGGUUUCAUUGCCUUGAUUCCAAUCCUGACACAAUCAUUGAACUAGCUGUGUGACCAUGGGAAUAAAGUUGACUCUCUGAUCCUCAGUUUCUUUAUAGGUAAAAUGAGGAUUGAAUUUGGGAAUAGAACCUCCUGCAUUCAGUUGUUUUGAGGAUUGAUAUUAGACUCUAAUCAUCUAUUAUUAUCAUUAAAGUGAUAAUACAGUUAAAUUUCAGAGACAGAGUUCAAAGCGUAAACCCUUCUCAUUGCACUGUGUCACUCUUUGGAUGAUAUUCACAAAGCUCAGAAUUUCUCCUAGUGAGAUAUAUAGGAUUAGAACUUGAAAGUAAUCUUUGUGGUCAGUUUAAAUCUGCUGUGGAGCAAAUGACCCACCUAGGGUUGGGGUACCUGUUACAUCUUAAAUUGAGUACUAUUAACAGCUGCAAGAAUCUGGGAUAAGGACCACCAGUCCCACAUAAUUUCAUGUCACAGGAUAUGGAAUGAGUAUCAGAAGGUAUAUGUUUAAAUGGACAGCAGAGAAUCUACAUCUUUUUGGAGAAAUUUUGAAGGAGACCAGCUGAGGGUAAUUUUGUUUGUUAACACACAUAUACACAUCACACUUACUGAGUCCAUACUAUGUUGGAAACACCAUGCAAUAAGGAAGAUGGAGAUUUCCAUAGAGGUGAAGUGCUCACUAUUCUACAGUUCAUUAUGGCAGAGGAGCCAGUGACCCUCCCUGUCCAAAUCAAGGCACACUCUCCAUGGAGCUCACAAUAUGCCCUAAGAUGAGGAAAAGGAAGAUUAAUAACAGAGAGCAGUGGAGGGUAGGGGACUGCUAAGACUUCUUGGGAAAAAGAUAGAAAGGAAACAGUUGAUUCUUAUAAUCUAUUGGAUACUUUAGGUGUUGGUUUUUACACUGGGUUUGAAGGAAAGAUAAAAUUCAAUAGUUGGAUACAAAAGGGAGGGAGAAAGAAUAUGCCUGGGCUGCUGAGAGCAGUUAUGAUUUAUAUGGCACAGAGUUAGUCAUCAUCCUGGUGAAUCCACAUUUUCACAUGAACUUUUAAUUACAGCUAAUUACAAGGCUUGCCUUGUAGUCUAAAAUUUCAUUUUAAAUAGUGUUUGCAUUUUUAUAACUUUUCUUUUAAUAUGCUUUUCAUAUUUUUGAAAUCAGGAAAAGUUACUUUUAAAUACCAUAUAUGCCAAAAUUAAUUUUUAAAACAGGAAAUUAUUCCUAUAAAUAUGGUUUUAAAAUCAUCACACAGCUUUGAAAAGAUCUAAGAAAUAUUGUCCGGAUUAGGUUUUUUAAAGAUUUUGUCCAAAACAAUUUCCUCUUUUCAGCUGGUCUCCUUUACUGAAUCAUAUUAAUUUUUUAGUUUUUCAAUCUGUCUCCAAGUACUAGGAAACAUCUCUCAAUUGGUUUUUGAAAAUAUGAAUUUCAAUUUUAAUUGUCAAUAUAUUGAUUUUAUUUAUUGGUUAAAUUAAACCUAUUUAGAUAGAUAUUAUUUGUCCGGUUUCACAGAUGUGAAACAAAGAAUUAAGAAAAUUUUCAAAGCAGUUUAACACUGUGGAUAAGAGCUGGGCUUGAGCUUGUUCUGAGGCCCAGUCCUGGCUCCAUAACAAACUAGCUAAAUGACUUUGGCAAAGCAGCUGAAUCUCUGUCUCUCUUGAAGUCAUUUAAGCUAAAUAGAAUAUAGUUAUCUAAGUUUUUUUUUUCUUUAAGCAUUUAGGAGGCCGGUCUACACAUUUGAAUAUUUGUUGAAUCUGGAUGGAGGUAUGUAUUAACUAAAUUCUUCUUUCCCUUCAACAAAUCUUUAUUAAGAACUUACCAUGAGCAGGUAUUGUACUAGGCAGUGGAGCUGCAAAGAUGAGAAAGGUAAAUAACUUUUAGAAACUUUGAAAAAGUUUCCACAAAUAUUAAUUUCAAAUCAGCAAAAUAAUAUGUAGUGGGUCAACUUGGUCUCUGACAUCAAAAUAAAUCUUACAUGGACCCCAUAGUAUACAAAUUUGUCUUAAGUUUCUUCAUUAAAUAUUUGGUUUGUUAAGUACUGUCAAAACUACCAUUUCUCAAUAAGUCUUUGCUGCCCUGAUAGGAAACAAUAGAAGUCCCGAAGUGUAUUAAUUCUAACCUGCUAUUGUUUUUUCAUUUUUUGUUUGUUUAAUAAUGCUCUUAAGGAACUAAAGAUGAGCCAGGAUCCCUCCACUGGAGAACUCUGACUCUGGUUCAUUUGAGCCUGAGUUCUUAUUCCCACCCUCCACUUACAGGUUACAUGGUCUCAGGCAAGUUCCUUAGGCAGACUGCACCUCAGCUCUCUCAUCUGUAAUAUGAAGAUAAUAGAAACACCUAAGUUAAAGAGCUCUUGUAAAGUUACAUGAGAUUUAGGAUGAUGUAAAGCAAAAUCUCAAUAAUAAGCUUUUAUUAUUGCAUGUAGUUUAAAAGUUUUAACAUCCUCAUAUUACGUCCAUGAGUAGAAAUGUCAGAUUUGUAAAACAUCCUAUUUACCUUUGACUUAUUUGAUUGGUUGCCUUGUUCCCAGUUGAAGGUUUUUUUGUUGUUGUUGUUUGGUUGGUUGGUUCUUUUCAUUUUUUAUCACUUUGCUCUCUAGUCUUCUACCUUCCUAGGGAGAAUUGAAUACUGUUUGUUUAUUGAUUCUUAGGGGGUGAAGGCCAAAACAGUGUGGUCUGGAAUAGCCUCAGCUUGGGGAAUUAGCACCUGGAAAGUUCUGUGACACUGAGAUUGCAGAAGCUAUCUGCAAAGCAACACAGCUUUUCAAAUCCAUGUUACAAUAAUGUCAUGCAGAGAGAACACAAAGUCAAGCUACUAUAAAUACAUGCUUUAACAGCUUUUUAAAAUAGUAUGUUUUAUUAUCUGCAAAGCUGAAAAAAGUUUUAGUGUUUUUUUGGUUGGUAUGUAUUAGCAUUUCCACACCUAUACAUUCUUUUUUUUCUUUUAUUUCAUUUUUGGCCACCUGCAGCAUAUGGAGUUCUGAAGCCAGGAAUCAGAUCCAAGCCGCAGUUGCAACCUAAGACACAGCUGCAGCAACACAGGAUCCUUAACCCACUGUGCCGGACCAGGGAUCAAACCUGCGUCCCAGUGUGCUCCCAAGGCACUACAGAUCCUGUUGUGCCACAGUGGGAACUCCUUUUUUAUUUUUUUUAUGCAUCCCAUUUUGCAUUAUAUGUUUGAACCUUAACAUUCUCUUUCAUACUCCCCUAUGCUUACUUUGUACACUCCUUUGUCAGAGGAGAUAAUCUUCUGCUUCAGACUUUCUGAUCCUUGAUGGCAGGUGUAUUAAAGUUCAGUCAGAAGACAGAAACCACUCCAAUUGUUUUUAGGGGCAAAAUUUACUAUAAAGAAUUGUUAGCUAGGUGUAAAGAGGUUAAUAACUGAAAUGGUAAAAAGAAAGCUCUAAGAUAUCCCAGACUGCGGCAAUGCAGAAAGCAGCUUCCAUCCUUAGGGUGGAGAGUACCAAGGGCAGAAGUUGGAAUUAUUAACUUACAUCCUUAGAGGGAAACCUCAGACCUCAGGGGGAACCUGCUGACCGGUGCUGGUAUCUCUGAGAUGGACUGUGAUUGGGCUGGUUUUUCAAGUGUUGAAAAAACUUCCACCUAAUUCAAAUGCUGCUAUAGAAAGGGACUGCAGGAUGAAGAAGCUUUGCCUGCAUGAUGCUUCCAGGAAUCCCAAGCAGAAAGGGAGCCCCAAAGGAAACAAACAGGAAGGAGCAAAUCCCUUCUUCUAUGUUCACUUUUGUUAACUCCCACUAGAGCCCCCAUAUUACCAGACUCAAUAUAUAAAAUAUAUAUAGCCAGCUGGCAAAGCAGAAAUGUGGUUUGUAAAGUUCCAGCGCCAGCACCUGAGAGCAAAUUAGGAAGGAUGGGUUUGGAGAUGAGAAACACUAGUUUAAUAACUGGUAUAGUAGGCAACUUGUCUUAUUGUCAGCACCUGGCAUGGUUCCUGAGCUACAGUAUUGAAUAAAUGCUUGUGGGAUGGAUAUGUGUAUAGAGUUUGAUUUUAAAAUGUGAUUUUAAUAGCUAACAUCUUAGUUUUUCUUAUAAAAAUAGCUGUCUUCCUGUAGGAAAAUAACUUGAUAGACCACUUUCAUUGUAGGAAUUGAGGCCCCAAUAGUUACAGUCUGGAAAGAGUUAGAGAAACAGAGAAUUAACCUGUCCUUUAUAGGGAGUUAGCGGAUAUUGGGGUGGAGUAGGGUGAGGGGCAAAGUAAGCAGCUGGAGAGGAGAGGGGAGGUUAAACAGUCAAAGAAGAGAGUCAAGGCCAAGCAAACUAAGAAUACUAGAGGGGCUGGUGAAAGGUAACCAAUGAGAAAUUCCUGAUAGAGAGAUUAUAGCAAGACUUCUAGAAAUGAAAAAUAUUUGAAUUCACGUUUCAUGACUAUGACUCUAAAGUAAACUCAAGUCUUUAAGAAAUCGACAUUUGCUACUCAUACCAACUUAUAUCUGGAGCAUUUGCAAAUAAAAAGGCAGUAUGCUUUGGACAUUGAGAUGAUCCAUAAAUUUAAACAAGUCUCUGGGAGCUGGGGUUAUGCCAGAGAUAACUAGGAGCACCAAAGCCUCUAUAUCUUGUUUGCCACUGACUAAAUUCCCUAGAAAGACCAAGUGUGAGUCUAUCACAGCACCUGGAAUAAGGCUAUAAAAAUUUUCAUAAACUCAGAGGGGGCCCUAGUCCCUAUCCUGGUAGCAUCUGUAUUGUUAGCAUGUACACUAUUUAGUGCCUUAGCCCUGAAGGACAAAAUGUUUUCAUAAAUAUUUGGCUAACUAGCUCCAUCUUUAAGCAAAGUGUGAAUCUG
rnacentral:lncRNA from 1 species